GGCCGCUGGGGGGUUGUCGCUUGGCGCCGCGCGCAGUCCCUAGCGCAACUCACAGGAUCUUCCUGGCCCGACUCAGCCACCUCGAUAAAGAAAACUAAGGAACUCAAGAGGAGUCAUCAGAAUUCCUGCCAUGUGGGAGACAUCAACCCCACUGGUGACUUUUUUUUCUGCUCCACAUAUUAGAGCAUGUAUUUGGAUUACUUAGACCAAACCAGGACAAUGAGAUUCAGUACUGAAACUUUUAUUCAAACUUAGAAAGAGAAUCUCUUUUCCAUGGGAUUGAAGCUGGAGUUCCUGAGAAGCUGCCUGAUGCAGACUGCAACACAGAGAAAAGCAGAACUAAGACAUAGAGAGAAGGAUUUCACUUUAACCUGUAGAUCCAACCAUGCCUGCAGCUGAGCUUGUUCACUGGACUUGCCAGUGGACUUGCACGAGAUUAAAGGGAAAUGCUGGGGCAACUGGAUAGCCACAUGCAAAAAAUGAAGUUGGACCUCUACCUUACAUCAUACACAAAAAUUAACUCUAAAUGGAUCUAAGACCUAAUUGUACCUACUAAUCUGUAAAAUUCUUAGAAGACAACAUAGAGAGUAAAUCUUCAUAAUUUCAGAUUUGGCAACGGAUUUUUAGAUAUGAUACCCCAAGCACAUGCAGCAAAAAAAAUUGGAUUAUUAGGCUUCAUCAAAAUUAAAAACUCUCAUAUAGCAAAGGGCUUUAAGAAAAGUGAAAAGACAGAUAUGAUAUAAGAGAAAAUAUUUGCAAAUCAUAUAUCUGACAAGGUGCUUGUGUCUAGAGCACACAAAGAACAAUUAUAGCUCAGUAGUAAAAAGACAAAUGAUCCAAUUAAAAACUAGGUAAAGCAUCUGAACAGACAUUUCUCCAAAAAAGAUACACUAAUGGCUAAUAAGCACAAGAAAAAAUGUUCAACAUUAUUAAACGUUAGGGAAAUGCAAAUCAAAAACACAAUGGAAUAUCACUUCAUGGCCAGUAAGAAGGCAAUAAUAAAUUAAAAAAAAAAAAAAACAGAUAACAACUGUCAGUGACAAUGUGGAGAAAUUGGAACCUUCAUAUAUUGCUGGUGAGAAUAUAAAUGGGGCGGCUGCUUUGGAAAUCUAUAUAGCAAUUCCUCAAAAGUUUAGAGUUACUAUAUGAACCAGCAAUUCCACUCCAAAGUAAAUACUCAACAUAUAUAAUUCCACACAAAACCUUGUUCGCAAAUGGUCAUAGCGACAUUAUUUACAAUAGGCAAUAAGUAGAAAUAACCCAAAUGUUCAUUAACUAAUGAAUGGACACAUAAAAUGUGCUAUAUUGAUACUAUGGAAUAUAUUUGGUAAUCAGACCACAUGAAAUAUGAACACAUAUUACAAUAAGAAUGAAUGAACAAUAGCACUGAGAACAUUAUGUUAAGUGAAAGUAUCCAUUACAAAUGACCACUUAUUGUAAGAUUCUAUUUAUAUAAAAUGUCCAGAUUAAGAAAAUCUAUAGAGACGAAAAGCAGAUUACUGAUUACCCAGGGCCAGAGAGUGAGGUAUAAGGGGACUGGGAUUGAGGGGUGAUGUCAGGUAAGGAAAUGUUCUAAAAUUUAUUGUGGUGAUAGAUUCUGAACUCUAUGAAUAUUCUAACGGCAUUGAAUUAUAUACUUUAAAUGAUUGGAUUGUAUGGUACAUAAAUUAUAUCUCAAUAAAUCUGCUUAUUAAAAAAUGAAAGGGAAGAAGGAAGGCAGAGGCACAUCUUCUCGUGCCUUUAGCUUGGGAGCACAGUGCCCUAGGUCCUGCACUCUACUGAACUGCACUACAGUUCCUGUUCCUCCUACUGCAGGAACUACAGGAACAAACAAGCAUAGUUUCAGAGGAACGAGAGAUGAGCAGUUGUGGUUUCCUGCAGCAGCGGUAGCAUCUUCCUGAAGUUCCUAAGCACUGACUAACAUAACUUUAUCCCCUUCCUUUUGUCUAUUUUAUCCCUUCCAAAAAUUUUUUCAGUUAACUCCCUUUAUUAAAAUCCAAUCUGCUUGAAAUGCCUAGAGCGGUUUGUUUUCCUAACUAAAUUCUGAUCAAUAGUACUGCCCAGAGAAUGUCCUUUCUCCUUGUUCUCUUCCUAACACAUUUUUAAAUUUUGUCCAGAUAUUCAUCUCUCCACUACAUAGCCAAGUACCACAAAAGACAAUGAGUGACAGAGUGACCUCAGCUUCAGGGUUCAGCGUGAUUUUUAUCUAAGAGUAAUCCCAUUUAUCUUUCUAAGAAUUGGUUCAGAAAUGGUCAUCCAACCUAGUUAUGCCAAUGAGACAUGAAGGGGGGUUUACCAGAAACUUCUGGGAACACUCUUCAUUCUUAAGUAUGAAUCAUAAGAAACCAACUAGAUAUAAAAGAGAAAUCCCUAUUUUCUGCUUACAGCUAUCAUACAACCAAGACAGGAGUCUUCUUAAGAACAAAGGUGGCAGUAUAGAGGCAGUGCAGAGAAACACAGAGAACCUGAGUAUUUAAUUGCAUUAUUGAACUGUUGGAUCAAUACAGC